CCUACGGGGGGCUGCAGUGGGGAAUAUUGGACAAUGGGGGCAACCCUGAUCCAGCCAUGCCGCGUGUGUGAAGAAGGCCCUCGGGUUGUAAAGCACUUUCAGUGAGGAAGAACGCCUGGUGGUUAAUACCCAUCAGGAAAGACAUCACUCACAGAAGAAGCACCGGCUAACUCCGUGCCAGCAGCCGCGGUAAUACGGAGGGUGCGAGCGUUAAUCGGAAUUACUGAGCGUAAAGCGCGCGUAGGUGGCUUGAUAAGCCGGUUGUGAAAGCCCCGGGCUCAACCUGGGAACGGCAUCCGGAACUGUCAAGCUAGAGUGCAGGAGAGGAAGGUAGAAUUCCCGGUGUAGCGGUGAAAUGCGUAGAGAUCGGGAGGAAUACCAGUGGCGAAGGCGGCCUUCUGGACUGACACUGACACUGAGGUGCGAAAGCGUGGGUAGCAAACAGGAUUAGAUACCCGGGUAGUC
rnacentral:rRNA from 1 species